GUCGAGCGGUAGAGAGGUGCUUGCACCUCUUGAGAGCGGCGGACGGGUGAGUAAAGCCUAGGAAUCUGCCUGGUAGUGGGGGAUAACGCUCGGAAACGGACGCUAAUACCGCAUACGUCCUACGGGAGAAAGCAGGGGACCUUCGGGCCUUGCGCUAUCAGAUGAGCCUAGGUCGGAUUAGCUAGUUGGUGAGGUAAUGGCUCACCAAGGCGACGAUCCGUAACUGGUCUGAGAGGAUGACCAGUCACACUGGAACUGAGACACGGUCCAGACUCCUACGGGAGGCAGCAGUGGGGAAUAUUGGACAAUGGGCGAAAGCCUGAUCCAGCCAUGCCGCGUGUGUGAAGAAGGUCUUCGGAUUGUAAAGCACUUUAAGUUGGGAGGAAGGGCAUUAACCUAAUACGUUAGUGUUUUGACGUUACCGACAGAAUAAGCACCGGCUAACUCUGUGCCAGCAGCCGCGGUAAUACAGAGGGUGCAAGCGUUAAUCGGAAUUACUGGGCGUAAAGCGCGCGUAGGUGGUUCGUUAAGUUGGAUGUGAAAUCCCCGGGCUCAACCUGGGAACUGCAUUCAAAACUGUCGAGCUAGAGCAUGGUA
rnacentral:rRNA from 1 species